UUUCCAGAGAUGGAUUGGUGCCUUCGGGAACUCUGAGACAGGUGCUGCAUGGCUGUCGUCAGCUCGUGUUGUGAAAUGUUGGGUUAAGUCCCGCAACGAGCGCAACCCUUAUCCUUUGUUGCCAGCGGUUAGGCCGGGAACUCAAAGGAGACUGCCAGUGAUAAACUGGAGGAAGGUGGGGAUGACGUCAAGUCAUCAUGGCCCUUACGAGUAGGGCUACACACGUGCUACAAUGGCGCAUACAAAGAGAAGCGACCUCGCGAGAGCAAGCGGACCUCAUAAAGUGCGCCGUAGUCCGGAUUGGAGUCUGCAACUCGACUCCAUGAAGUCGGAAUCGCUAGUAAUCGUGGAUCAGAAUGCCACGGUGAAUACGUUCCCGGGCCUUGUACACACCGCCCGUCACACCAUGGGAGUGGGUUGCAAAAGAAGUAGGUAGCUUAACCUUCGGGAGGGCGCUUACCACUUUGUGAUUCAUGACUGGGGUGAAGUCGUAACAAGGUAAGCGUAGUGCU
rnacentral:rRNA from 1 species